rnacentral:rRNA from 1 species
UACAGAGGUCUCAAGCGUUGUUCGGAUUCAUUGGGCGUAAAGGGUGCGUAGGCGGCGAGGCAAGUCUGGUGUGAAAUCCCGGGGGCUCAACCCCCGGAACUGCACUGGAUACUGCUUUGCUAGAGUACUGGAGAGGGAACUGGAAUUUACGGUGUAGCAGUGAAAUGCGUAGAUAUCGUAAGGAAGACCAGCGGCGAAGGCGAGUUCCUGGACAGUUACUGACGCUGAGGCACGAAGGCCAGGGGGAGCAAACGGGG